GAUGAACGCUGGCGGCGUGCCUAAUACAUGCAAGUCGAGCGAACAGACGAGGAGCUUGCUCCUCUGACGUUAGCGGCGGACGGGUGAGUAACACGUGUAUAACCUACCUAUAAGACUGGGAUAACUUCGGGAAACCGGAGCUAAUACCGGAUAAUAUAUUGAACCGCAUGGUUCAAUAGUGAAAGACGGUUUUGCUGGCACGUAUAGAUGGAUCCGCGCCGCAUUAGCUAGUUGGUAAGGUAACGGCUUAUCAAGGCAACGAUGCGUAGCCGACCUGAGAGGCUGAUCGGCCACCCUGGAACUGAGACACGGUCCAGGCUCCUACGGGAGGCAGCAGUAGCCAAUCUUCCGCAAUGGGCGAAAGCAUGACGGAGCAACGCCGCGUGAGUUACGACGGUCUUCGGAUCGUAAAACUCUGUUAUUAGGGAAGAACAACUGUGUAAGUAACUAUGCACGUCUUGACGGUAACUAAUCAGAAAGCCACGGCUAACUACGUG
rnacentral:rRNA from 1 species